GCGUCAAAAUUAAAUUGUGAGAUAAACCUGAUAUAAUUACAUAAAGUUGGAGAGUACGUUUCUGCCUACGCGUGGAUAUAAAGAACGUCGAAAACGGAGUUCGUAUGCAAAAGAUACGGCAGUUUUACGAAAAUCAGACAGUAAAACACUGUUUUUCUUUAAUCGCGUAAAACCGAAUCGAUCCUUUGCGGUACUUAUGCUUUGCCGACGGGAUUUCCGAGGGCGUUUUUGGACUCAAGAUAUGGUCUAGUAUUUGAUUUCAUACUCGAAAUAUUUUUAACGAAAAUAUUUAUAAAAGUUGCGAAAAAGGACAUCGAGUGUCGUUUAGACGCAAAACUUUAAGUGCGAUUUCCCGGGGUUCCAUAACUCCAAAAAUUAAUCCGUUCGGGUUUAUGGAAUCCUUGAAUUACCCUCUUUCAUAAGAAAUUUUCAAAAACGCAAUCCGAUGUUGAGAUCUCGAGACACCCGAUUUUGUGUGUUUUGGGCAAUUAAAGGAGGAAAAAAACCCAUGUGGACCCACAUGACUUGCAUGGGAGAAAAAUCCCCAGCCAAUUGCUUCUCCUCUUGGUCUUAUCCACGUGAUCUUCUCCUCAUCCUCACUCUUUUGCUUGCACACUUCAAUUUGUGAGUACAUUGCUUGGUUGGAGGCAUGGCCCAAACUUGUAUGUGAGUGUGUGUGUUUACUAUAAAAUGAGGCUUAGACACCUUCAUUUCUCACUCACAAAAUCUGCCAUCAUCUUCCUCUUCUUCCCCUCUCUCUCUCUCUCUCUCUCUCAAUCUUGAUCUCUAUAUCCCUUUCUAUCUCCCUUAGAUUGAAUAACCACCAUUUCCACCACCUACUGUUGUCACAAGCUCCUCCGUCCAGCACCAAUCUUGCACCAUCACUACCAUAUUGGUGCCACCGAAACUAAAUUUUCUCGGAGAUUCAUAUUCACGGAAAUACUACUCGACCUCCUCGCAUCCAUUCCAGAACACUAAUCGUCUAUCGAACGUUAAGGUAGUGGCGCAUGAGCAUAGGUGUGAUGUUUUGGACGAGGGAUUACGGAUAUAGGCCUGUAGAUAUGAAAUAAUGUAGUAAGGCUUAUAUUGUACUGUUUAUGCUUUUGAUCUGUACGAACAUGACAUCCCGAGUCUUUUAAUGAAAUACAUUUCUAUGGAAAUGCUUUUGAUAAA